AGACCCGAAACCCGGUGAUCUAGCCAUGGGCAGGUUGAAGGUUGGGUAACACUAACUGGAGGACCGAACCGACUAAUGUUGAAAAAUUAGCGGAUGACUUGUGGCUGGGGGUGAAAGGCCAAUCAAACCGGGAGAUAGCUGGUUCUCCCCGAAAGCUAUUUAGGUAGCGCCUCGUGAAUUCAUCUCCGGGGGUAGAGCACUGUUUCGGCAAGGGGGUCAUCCCGACUUACCAACCCGAUGCAAACUGCGAAUACCGGAGAAUGUUAUCACGGGAGACACACGGCGGGUGCUAACGUCCGUCGUGAAGAGGGAAACAACCCAGACCGCCAGCUAAGGUCCCAAAGUCAUGGUUAAGUGGGAAACGAUGUGGGAAGGCCCAGACAGCCAGGAUGUUGGCUUAGAAGCAGCCAUCAUUUAAAGAAAGCGUAAUAGCUCACUGGUCGAGUCGGCCUGCGCGGAAGAUGUAACGGGGCUAAACCAUGCACCGAAGCUGCGGCAGC
rnacentral:rRNA from 2 species